AGCGAACGCUGGCGGCAGGCCUAACACAUGCAAGUCGAACGGAUCCUUCGGGAUUAGUGGCGGACGGGUGAGUAACACGUGGGAACGUGCCCUUUGGUUCGGAACAACUCAGGGAAACUUGAGCUAAUACCGGAUGUGCCCUUCGGGGGAAAGAUUUAUCGCCAUUGGAGCGGCCCGCGCAGGAUUAGCUAGUUGGUGGGGUAAAGGCCCACCAAGGCUACGAUCCUUAGCUGGUCUGAGAGGAUGAUCAGCCACAUUGGGACUGAGACACGGCCCAAACUCCUACGGGAGGCAGCAGUGGGGAAUCUUGCGCAAUGGGCGAAAGCCUAACGCAGCCAUGCCGCGUCAAUGAUGAAGGUCUUAGGAUUGUAAAAUUCUUUCACCGGGGACGAUAAUGACGGUACCCGGAGAAGAAGCCCCGGCUAACUUCGUGCCAGCCGCCGCCGUAA
rnacentral:rRNA from 1 species